GAUGAACGCUGGCGGCGUGCCUAAUACAUGCAAGUCGAGCGAACGGACGAGAAGCUUGCUUCUCUGAUGUUAGCGGCGGACGGGCGAGUAACACGUGGAUAACCUACCUAUAAGACUGGGAUAACUUCGGGAAACCGGAGCUAAUACCGGAUGAUAUUUUGAACCGCAUGGUUCAAAAGUGAAAGACGGUCUUGCUGUCACUUAUAGAUGGAUCCGCGCUGCAUUAGCUAGUUGGUAAGGUAACGGCUUACCAAGGCAACGAUGCAUAGCCGACCUGAGAGGGUGAUCGGCCACACUGGAACUGAGACACGGUCCAGACUCCUACGGGAGGCAGCAGUAGGGAAUCUUCCGCAAUGGGCGAAAGCCUGACGGAGCAACGCCGCGUGAGUGAUGAAGGUCUUCGGAUCGUAAAACUCUGUUAUUAGGGAAGAACAUAUGUGUAAGUAACUGUGCACAUCUUGACGGUACCUAAUCAGAAAGCCACGGCUAACUACGUGCCAGCAGCCGCGGUAAUACGUAGGUGGCAAGCGUUAUCCGGAAUUAUUGGGCGUAAAGCGCGCGUAGGCGGUUUUUUAGUCUGAUGUGAAAGCCCACGGCUCACCGUGGAGGGUCAUUGGAAACUGGAAAACUUGAGUGCAGAAGAGGAAAGUGGAAUUCCAUGUGUAGCGGUGAAAUGCGCAGAGAUAUGGAGGAACACCAGUGGCGAAGGCGACUUUCUGGUCUGUAACUGACGCUGAUGUGCGAAAGCGUGGGGAUCAAACAGGAUUAGAUACCCUGGUAGUCCACGCCGUAAACGAUGAGUGCUAAGUGUUAGGGGGUUUCCGCCCCUUAGUGCUGCAGCUAACGCAUUAAGCACUCCGCCUGGGGAGUACGACCGCAAGGUUGAAACUCAAAGGAAUUGACGGGGACCCGCACAAGCGGUGGAGCAUGUGGUUUAAUUCGAAGCAACGCGAAGAACCUUACCAAAUCUUGACAUCCUUUGACAACUCUAGAGAUAGAGCCUUCCCCUUCGGGGGACAAAGUGACAGGUGGUGCAUGGUUGUCGUCAGCUCGUGUCGUGAGAUGUUGGGUUAAGUCCCGCAACGAGCGCAACCCUUAAGCUUAGUUGCCAUCAUUAAGUUGGGCACUCUAAGUUGACUGCCGGUGACAAACCGGAGGAAGGUGGGGAUGACGUCAAAUCAUCAUGCCCCUUAUGAUUUGGGCUACACACGUGCUACAAUGGACAAUACAAAGGGCAGCGAAACCGCGAGGUCAAGCAAAUCCCAUAAAGUUGUUCUCAGUUCGGAUUGUAGUCUGCAACUCGACUACAUGAAGCUGGAAUCGCUAGUAAUCGUAGAUCAGCAUGCUACGGUGAAUACGUUCCCGGGUCU
rnacentral:rRNA from 1 species